AUGUGCACUCGUGACCUUAUUGUACUUUCAUUUUUAAAAGUUAUUAAUAAACCAGUUCAUACAUUGUAAACAUGGACUAUUCGGAAUGGAUUGAGACACAGAAAGCACGUUUGAGUGUUCACAUGUUCUGAAGAGCAUUCUGUUGAAAAAUCUUAUAUGUGAAUUGGUCUGCAGAUGACACUUCAGCAUUAAAACAAAAGAUAUCAAGUUUUGAUGAAAAAGGAAGGAAGGAGGGAAAAUGGACCAAAACAGACCAAAACAGACCUUCAAAUGAACUCUAAAAGGUGCAAUAAAAUUGUUUAUCAU